UUGAUUUUCCAUGGCUACCAGCUGCCUCUGUUUAGUUGCCUCUGGGGUUCCCAGGAGCCCACAGAUUUCACUGUUUUUGGUGGCUAAAUAUAUGUGGGGGGACUCAGGGGCCUGGGUUGGGUGGGUAGACAGCUCAGAGGCUUGGUAGGGGCUGGGCUGGAUGGACUCACCUUGAAGGGGAGCAUAGGGAUAUAGGGGUGCUGAUCCUGGGGCUCUUGGGCUUCAGUCCUGAGUUAGGCAUUUGUCUCAGAAGAGGAUAUUGAGGCCCCUUAAGUGGUUCUUCCCCAAGUCUGUAUGUCUGGUGUGUGAAUUCCAAAUAGAACAUAUCUGGUUUACCAACUUCGUUCCCUCCCUCCCUCCCUCCCUGCCUCACUACACAAACAAUUUAGGCCUGCGGUGGGGAACUGGGCCAAGUGUGAGGGAUGCAGCCCCUCACCGUGUCCCCUCUCUGUAGGCUGAGCUGCUCAUCUCCGAGUCCUCAGAGAUGGGGCUGGGGACUAAGGCUCUGGGCCUUUUCCCAGGGUCUUCUCAGGCUGGGGCCUCCUCUGUCUCUUUAACCCCACCUGCUUCCACUCUUCUCUGCCCCAAAGCACAAGAGGUAAUCACAGCUAACUGCGUGCUCUGCUUUGCCCACUGCCUGUCUGCCUGCCCGCUGAGCCCCUGCCUACAGCUCCUCCCAGGGCUUAGCUGAAGGGCAUGUGGUGAUAGUUUCUUGGCUGGCCAGAGUUUGGGAGAGUGUGUGCGAGCAUGCCAUGCCGCCAUUCCAUAGAGUGCCUGGGCAGCCCAUUGAAUUGCAUAUUUAUUUGCCUAUAUUCUGCAUGCCAUUCAUUAGUUCUCACAACAUGCUGGACCCUCUGGCUGACUUUCCUUUUCCAUGACCCCAGAGGACAACCUGGUUCUAGAGCUAGGCCUGGAUGGGCCCCUUGGGUAGAGCAGGCUUAUGAUCCUGCGCUUUGAUUCAGCAUGCAUUGUGGAGGUCUACCAUGCUCCCAGCACCCAGAUAAGCUCAGUUUCUAAGGACAGGUGAUGAAUACGACAGUCCCUAUCCUCCCAACCCACAGUUGAAUGUGUUGGCAUCUUUCCAAGGACUCACCUUGGGCAGUGGGCCCAUUUUUCUGCUAGGCUUUUAGCUGUUCUUGCUAAGGCCUCUUUCUCACAGCCCAUCUUGCUCAGGCCCUGGUGAUGUCUCCACCUUCCCCCACCUGUUUCUAGCUCCUGCCCAGGCUGAUGGGGUGUGAGGGGACCCUGGGGAAUGGUGUGACUGGUGCUCAAUGCUGCAUGUGUGUGCCCCACUGGGGACUGCCAGGUUGUUGGGGACGGGGAGGGGGUCUCUGGAAGCUGGGUUCUGAUCCUCAGUGAACUCUUAGAAGGCCUUCUGUGGGCUUCUUUGCCUGCCCCCAGCCCAGGGCGAAUUCAGGCAUGGGCCUUCAGGGUCUGCUUGGGGCAGGACUGGAUGCCAAAGUGGCUCUUUAAGAGUGGAGGGCAGGAGGAGCCUUCAGACAGUUGGUUCUGCUGCCCUUUUCUGGUCUCUGUCACUCCCUGCAGCCAUCUAUGGGCAUAGCAGGCAUCCUACCCCUGCCUUGGAUUUUGUAUUGACAUGGAGUGAUGGCCCUGUGGCCUGGCAUGGAGUUUGGGGUGUUGGGCACCUUGUUGAACCCUGUUAACCCCUUCUUUGCCCACCCCUACCCCUUCUACUGGGCACCCCAGGAAUAUGUGACCCUGGCAGAAGUUUUCCAGCUGUGUUCCCGCUUGGACCCCUAUGCUUCUGCCACUUCCCCCAGUGUGCUCGCCCAGCCCCUGCCUGACAGUGAGGUACCAGCCACCGAGGGUGCCCACCAAUGCCCAAGGACCUCUUUAUGGAUGGCCUAGAUUCCCCCUUGGGCCUGGGUGGAGCUAGGGGGACAGAAGGGUCUGUGUUCGACAGUGAGGGAGAAGGGCAGCCUGCAUAAGGGGAGGUUGGGAGUGGUUUCUUUUUUUCCCUGGGGCCUUGGGAGCUUUCUUUAGCUCCUAUGGCCUCGGGAGGGGCACGCCUUCUGCUCUAGGAUGAGGGUGUCGAGUUGAGAGGACUCUGGCUUUCCUAGGCUGCAGGCUCUGUACUUUCUGCCCUUUCCCUCCCUUCCCCUGUGGGUAGGGCCAUCUCAUGUGUUCUGGUUCCAUUAACCUCUUAUAUUCCCUCCUGUGUCUGGCCUUGCCCCAAGUACGUGAUGCUUGAGCAGCUAAAGGUGAUGCGGGGCACCUCGCCCAUGCCCCCAGCCCCUGUGCCAGGCCUUUCUCCCUGGGCCUCCGCCUCCCGGGACCUGGUUCCCACCACCUGCCUUCCUCCCAUGCUGCCCUCCUCCUCGUUCGCUUCCAUCACGCCUUCACCUAAGAUGGAAAAGCUGCUGCUCCCUGCUGUAGACUUAGAGCAGUGGUACCAGGAGCUGAUGGCCGGGCUGGGGACUGGCCCCGCUGCAGCCUCCCCUCACUCUUCUCCCCCGCCUCUGCCCGCCAAAGCUUCCCGUCAACUGCAGGUUUACCGCUCCAAGAUGGAUGGCGAGGCCACCAGCCCCCUUCCCCAGACCCGCAGUGGCCCCCUCCCCUCCUCCUCUGGCUCUUCCUCCUCCUCCUCCCAGCUCAGCGUGGCUACCCUGGGGCGUAGCCCCUCCCCAAAGAGCGCUCUACUCACCCAGAAUGGCACGGGCAGCCUUCCUCGCAACCUGGCAGCCACACUGCAGGACAUCGAGACCAAGCGCCAACUAGCUCUGCAGCAGAAGGGACAACAGGUGAUUGAAGAGCAGCGGCGGCGACUGGCUGAGCUGAAGCAGAAAGCGGCAGCUGAGGCACAGUGCCAGUGGGAUGCCCUUCAUGGGGCAGCACCCUUCCCAGCGGGCCCCUCGGGCUUCCCCCCUCUCAUGCACCACUCUAUCCUACACCACCUGCCUGCGGGGCGGGAGCGUGGGGAGGAGGGUGAGCACGCCUACGAUACGCUGAGUCUGGAGAGCUCUGACAGCAUGGAGACCAGCAUCUCCACCGGGGGCAACUCGGCCUGCUCCCCUGACAACAUGUCCAGGUACACCCGACGCCUGGGCCCGCAGCCUCCCUCAGCCACCGCCUCAGCUCCUUGAUGCACCUCGUCUUCCCCUUCUCUCCCCAGCGCGAGUGGUCUGGACAUGGGGAAGAUCGAGGAGAUGGAGAAGAUGCUG
rnacentral:sRNA from 1 species